rnacentral:tRNA from 1 species
GGUGUCAUGGCAGAGUGGUUAUGCAGGGGUCUGCAACACCCCGUAUAUGGGUUCAAUUCCCAUUGACACCUCCA